CGGUCCGCCUCAAACCCUAAUACGGAAGAAUCAACGAAAUGGAGUUCGUCUUUCCUCGUGACUUCGUGACGUUUGCGCUUCUUCAAUGUAUCGUUUAGAUCUGCAAGACGGUGUGUUUUCGGUAUAAAUAUGUGUGUUUCUCUUCUUGAACUCAUCCUUUCUUCUCCGAUUUGAAGUCCGACAAGAAAUUUUUUCUCCGAUCUGAAGACAGGCUAAACUUGCUCUAGAGGCUCUUGAAGUUCCUGUGGGGAUGUGUCAUUCUUGAGGAGGGUAACAUCGUUGCUUCAGGGCGUAACCGAACUAAUGAGACAUGCAAUAGAGGCCACAAGACAUGUAGAGAUGGAAGCAAUCGAGGAACUUAUUGGACAAUGGCAAAAAGAUAGACUUUCACCUUCACAAGUCGCUGAGAAAUUCUCGAAAUGCGUUCCUUACGUAACAUGUGAACCUUGCAUAAUGUGUGCAUCGACCUUAUCCUUCCUCGGUAUGAAGGAAGUAUAUUAUGCAUGCGGAAAUGAUAAAUUUGGGGGUUGUGGUUCCGUAUUGUUGCUUCACUUAGAGAGUUCUCAGACAUAAGAUAUCCUUUGUAGACCCUAAAGAUCACACUACAAACUUAUUAGAAAAAAUCGGCCUUAUUAAUUGAAGUUUGUGAUCUCUGUUUUUUUUUAUAGUGAAGAAGCUCAAAGAGGAAAAGGGUACAAGUGCAGAGGAAUAAUGGCAGACGAAGCUGUAUCUCUUUUCAAAUGUUUCUAUGAGAGGAAUCCAUACAGAAACAAAGGUGGGAGAAUACAUAUUGAAGCCAAAGACAAUAGAAAGAGAGAAGACUUUCGUUCUUCUAGACAUCCCGCACCGCCGCACGUAACUCACUACUUCAGGAGGUGGUGGUUGUGGUGUAACUGAGAAGAAGAAAUGAUGGUGUGUUUCUUUGCAGGGCUGGUAUUGUGUUUCUUUGCAGGGCUGUUAUUGGUGGUGGUGGCUGGUAUUGUGUUUAUUUGCAGGGCUGGUAGUGGCGGUGGUGUAAGUGUGUAACCGAGAAGAAGGAAUGAUGCAAUGACUGAGUUCGAAGCUCUCCUUUUUUUUUAGAGUUUUCGCCUAAUUAAUGUUGCACCACCACCACCAUUUAUAUAAAACCACAAUCCAAGUUUAUUUAA